CCCACCCUUCACGGCUCCCCUGGGUCCCGUCUAAGAACGCUCCCACCUCCCCCUCCCACAGUGUCCGGAACGGAGGGGACCUCAGCGAGGAAUGGACUGGGUCUGAUUGUGACAAGGAGACUGGGCUGUGGAACCAGGAUGGACAAAGGAGCAGAGAACUCCACAGUUUGCAGUGCGAAAGUGAGUAAGCCAGAUCAGUCCUGCUGGUGAAGGCAAGCCCUGCCUCCUCUGAGGAAGCCCACGCCAUCUUCCAGGAUCUCUAAGCCUUGCUCUGGGAACUUCUGGGGAUUCAGUGAGGGUCAGGUGUUGCCCACGUAGGGCUA